AGCAGCCGCGGUAAUUCCAGCUCCAAUAGCGUAUAUUAAAGUUGUUGCAGUUAAAAAGCUCGUAGUUGAAUUUCGGGAUCAAUAUGUCGGUCGUGCCUUCGGUACGUACUGGUAUCAUUGGUCUCUCCUUUCUGACGAACCAUGAUGUAAUUAAUUUGGUGUUAUGGGGAGUUAGGACUGUUACUUUGAAAAAUUAGAGUGUUUAAAGCAGGCUUUAGCUUGAAUACAUUAGCAUGGAGUAAUGAAAUAGGACGUUCGAACCUAUUUUGUUGGUUUCUAGGAUCAACGUAAUGAUUAAUAGGGAUAGUUGGGGGCAUUAGUAUUCAAUUGUCAGAGGUGAAAUUCUUGGAUUUAUUGAAGACUAACUACUGCGAAAGCAUUUGCCAAGGAUGUUUUCAUUAAUCAAGAACGAAAGUUAGGGGAUCGAAGACGAUCAGAUACCGUCGUAGUCUUAACCAUAAACUAUGCCGACUAGGGA
rnacentral:rRNA from 1 species